rnacentral:sRNA from 1 species
CACCCGAAUGUGGAACAUUGACCAUUAAGCCGUCGCCGGAGAGCAAUGUCAGUACAACUCGCGGAGUCUUUCACUAGACGCCGCGGGAGUGGAACCUCGAAGCUCGAAGGGUACGGCCUGAGGCACGCUGUUGGGUCCUGAAGGUUCGGUUGCAUCUGCAACCACCUUCCAGCGGACAAUGAUCCCCUCGCCGAAAAUCGGGGGGACUUUGUUACCGCCCGUAUGUUGAGAACUUCACAGUGGACGCGAGCAUCUUUGUAGUAACAACAAGCUACUAAGGGCGAUCGGUGGAUACCUAGGCACACAGAGA